UUAACAUUGAACCGUAACUGCAUGCAUUCCUGGUAGCCAUACAUUGUUCAGGGGGUUCUUUAGUUCGACAUUGCUGAAUAAGAAGGGUGUAAGCAAACAUUCUCCGAACAUUGAACCAAACACCAGCUCUACCAGUUCUCUAUUACACUUAACCGUGUCCUGGAGGUAAUUCUGGUGCUGAUGAGUGGUGGAUGUCUCACAUAUAAAGCCCUUCCGGUACACCUUCCUUCUUCUUGAACAUGACCUUCUCUUUGGCCUUCUUGAAAUCGGCAUGUUUACCUUCAUUCUGCGCUCCCUUAAAGCGAGCAAUCCGGCCUCCGUACAUAUUGCUUUGAUGUCAGCACCAGAAAACUCAUCCUUGGUCAUCACAAACUCUUCUAGGUUAACAUCAUCUGCCAAUGUCAUCUUAGAUGUGUCACCUGGAAGAUCCGCCUCCUGGUUUUAAUAUCUGGUAACGGAAAUUCAAUCUUUCUGUCUAUCCGACCAGGUCGAAGCAAAGCUGGGUCAAGACUUUCAAUGCGAUUUGUUGCUAAAAUAACUUUAACAUCUCCCCUUGAAUCAAAACCAUCCAGCUGAUUAAGCAACUCCAACAUGGUUCUCUGAAUUUCACGCUCUCCACCCGAAUGAGCAUCAUACCUCUUUGUUCCGACUGCAUCAAUCUCGUCAAUAAAGACAAUUGACGGAGAAAGAUCAUCAGCCACCCUAAACAAUUCUCUUACAAGCUUGGGGCCAUCACCAAGGUACUUUUGGAUCAACUCACUCCCAACAACACGCAAAAAUGUUGCUGAUAAAAAGAGACAAACCUUUGCAAGUAGAGUUUUGCCUGUGCCAGGUUCCCCAUAUAAUAUUACUCCCUUGGGAGGCCUUAUUCCAAUGUCCUCAUAUAGCUCAGGAUGAGUCAAGGGAAGCUCAACAGCCUCUUUAAUCUCUUGAAUUUGGGCAUCCAGACCACCGAUGUCCGCAUAAGACUCCAAAGGUGCCUUUUCAACUUUCAUGACAGAAACCAUAGGGUCAACCUCAUCUUGCAAAAUUCCAACCACAGAGAGAACCUGAAGAAAUGAUUUAUCAAAAUGGCACACCCUGGCUCGAGCUGGUCCUUGUCGACGAAUGAUAAUAUGCCAACAUAGUAUUCCGGCCCGACGGACGACGAGACGAUGGCGUGGCUCUCAUCGAUGAUCUCCUCAAGCGAGCCAACGCUCAUGGGGGUGCCCCGGAGGUCAUCGACCUUGGAUCGGUCCUCCUCCGUCUUGUCCUCGCUGGGUCGCAGCCGCUCCUGGCUGACGACGAACUCCUCCUCCAUGAGGAGGUAGUCCUUGACCCGCUCCAGCUUGAGCAAGCGGAGGCGGCACUUGGAGAGCGGCGCCACGGCGGGCAGGCGCGCCGCCGCCUCGGGCCCCUUCUGCUUCCGCUGCUUCCGGCCGACGCGGGACGGCGCGGCGGGGGGCUCGAACUUGCGGUCCUUCUUGUCGCCGGCGCCGCCGUCGCCCGGCUUGCGAUCGCCGGGGAGGCCGCCCUGCUUCCCCAUCCCGCCGGGAGUGCCCUGCCCCAUCGCCGCCGGUGGGUUGCGUCGCUUCGAGGGUUAGGGUUUGGGUGUUGGGGGGAUCGGGA
rnacentral:sRNA from 1 species